UAACGAUGUUAAUUCUAAGA
rnacentral:misc_RNA from 1 species